rnacentral:sRNA from 1 species
GUAUUCUGGGUUACCUGUGGUACCUAUCAUAUCCCACGUACCGAGGACAUACCUGUCACAACUACAGUGGGUACUAACAUGGGUUUCUAUCUGCUACCCUACAACUACCACAAUGAGUGUCCAUCUUUGUCAUCCCGAGAUGCCAUUUAUGUCCAUCACACUGACCCCAGUGACCUGAAGAAAGGUGUGACCGUUGAAAGGUAUGGCAACACUGCUACACAAUGUCUGACUCCUAAACCAACGCUAGAAAGUCUUCUUGCCUCAAACCCAGAUCGCAUCCUAGAGACCAACCAUGGAAACUACGUUUAUUAGACCAGAUGGGGCGAUUUACAUUUAGAUGUGUGUACAUGUAUUAGAUGUAUUACUUGAAAUCAUGGAGAACUUAUUUGAGACAUCAAAACUGUCUCACCAGUUGUCACAGUAGUGAACAUCUACUAACAGUAACAAAUAAUAAUGUUUCUGAUACCGGUACCUGAUCUAUCAGUAAACUAGAUUCUAACAUGACAACACACUAUUUAGCAAUGUAUUGAAUGUGAACGAUGGAUAUAGUAAAAUGAAGUUAAGUGUUGGCCUACUUGCUUUUAAAACCUUACAAUGAAUGCAGCCAAUUGAGACAUUUUUCUGAGGGUAAUAAACACUAAUAGAUGGUUGUAUAGGCCUAGAUGUAUAUAUAUAAUACAAAAUUUUCUUUUAAACUAAAGAAACCACAAGUCUAGAUUAUGAUAGUCAUUUUCCUUUAAUUAUAUGAGAAUAUAUCACACUAUAGCUUUAUUUUGCAUUGAAAGUUAUAAGUGAUAUGUGAAUAAUCUUUGAUAAUAAAAUUUAUAACUAGAAAAGUGAAAUAUUGAAUCUUAUCAUUUUUAAGCUUGUCUUUUUUUUUAGCUACUCUGCUUGAUUUAAAAAAUUAAAUUGAAAAGGCAACACCAGCUCCGAAAUCAAAGCAAGAGCCUUUAAUGCUAUGGCAUAUGUAUAUAUAAAUAUAUAUACACAUAUAUAUAUAAAAGCGAGACAGUGCUUAAAACUGACUAUAAGGGUAUGUCUGAUUUUUUUGUUCUGAUACAAAACUGUUAUUUAACUUUCUUGUCUAUAAAUAGUUUCAUGCCAGCACUUGGUAUAAUUUAAGUUAGGUAUUAAAUAAGAUUUUAUGUUUAGAAAUUUUAUGUUUAAAGAAGCAAACAUUCUCUUGAACAGAAUAUAGCAGAUAAAUCUCUUGUUUUGUUUGUUUUCACUUAAAUAUACACUUCAUCGCUACUAUUGGCAGAAUCAUAAGUAUUAAAAAAAAAGUUUUUUUUUGUUCUGUUUUUUUAUGCGCUGUUUUAAUAAAAUGGCGAACUAGGGCUGUACAUAGGGAAGAUAUAUUUAUUGGUCAUGCUUGUGUUCCAACUUGAUAUUGUCAAUAGCAUAACACAUUAUGUUAAGUAAGAUACUGAUUUUGUGUUAUACCAAUAACUAUACUAAAAUAGCAGUUAAAAUGUCCUUGUUGAUACACCUAGUUGUCUUUACGGGUUGGAAAAGACAGGUCAUUGUAUUUUUUUGAUUGAUCAAAUUGAAAAUCAAUCAAUCAUUUCUACUUAGUUACCUCUCGCAAUAGUUUAGAUAACGUUUUUACGGGUUGGAAAAGACAGGUCGCUGUAUUUUUUUUUGUUUGAUUGAUCAAAUUGAAAAUCAAUCAAUCAUUUCUACUUAGUUACCUCUCGCAAUAUUACAGAGUUUAUCAUUGAAUAAUAAACGGAUAUUUUUCAUGUACAUAGACUGUUUCAAUGUAAAUAUGAAAGUGUGUUUAAAA